GACGAACGCUGGCGGCGUGCUUAACACAUGCAAGUCGAACGGAGUGGCGAACGGGCGAGUAACACGUGGGUGACCUGCCCUGCACUUCGGGAUAAGCCUGGGUAACUGGGUCUAAUACCGGCUAGUAUGGGAUGGGCUCGGGGCCUAUCAGCUUGUUGGUGGGGUAAUGGCCUACCAAGGCGGCGGAGGGUAGCCGGCCUGAGCGGGGGGACGGCCACAAUGGGACUAAGACACGGACCAGACUCGUACGGGGGGCAGCAGUGGGGAGUAUUGCACAGUGAGCGGAAGCGUGAUGCAGCGGCGCCGCGUGGGGAAUGACGGCCUUCGGGUUGUAAACUCCGUUCACCAUCGACGCGGUAGAUGGAGAAGAAGCACCGGCUAACUACGUGCCAGCAGCCGCGGUAAUAC
rnacentral:rRNA from 1 species